rnacentral:lncRNA from 1 species
UUAAUUGAAACUACAAAUCCUAAAUUCAUUAACCCACAAUCCAACAACCUUAAAAUUCGACACCCAGUAAAAUAAAAAUCAAACACCGAAAAUCAUACAAUAAAUCCACAACCCGCAAAAACCUAAACUAAUUUUAAGAAAAAAAAGUCGAAUGCUCAAAUAUUGGCCUCAAUAAAUCAAUUAACUGAAAUUAGAAACCCUAAAUUCAUAAAACCCACAAUCCAACAACCCUAAAAUUCGACACUCAAUAAAAUAAAAAUCAAACACCGACAAUCAUACAAUAAAUCCACAAGCCAUAAAAUCUAACCCGAUUUUUUUUUUUUUUAAAAAAAAGGUCGAAUGCUCAAAUAUCGGCCUGAAUAAAUCUAUCUACCUGCAAGUGGAUCCCGAAAUCGGCAAGUGUAAGGCGGAUUGAGGUAAAUUAAGCAAUGAAAG